AAACCAACCGGGAUUGCCUUAGUAACGGCGAGUGAAGCGGCAAAAGCUCAAAUUUGAAAUCUGGUACCUUCGGUGCCCGAGUUGUAAUUUGGAGAGGGCAACUUUGGGGCCGUUCCUUGUCUAUGUUCCUUGGAACAGGACGUCAUAGAGGGUGAGAAUCCCGUAUGCGGUCGGAAAGGCGCUCUAUACGUAGCUCCUUCGACGAGUCGAGUUGUUUGGGAAUGCAGCUCUAAAUGGGAGGUAAAUUUCUUCUAAAGCUAAAUAUUGGCCAGAGACCGAUAGCGCACAAGUAGAGUGAUCGAAAGAUGAAAAGCACUUUGGAAAGAGAGUUAAAAGUACGUGAAAUUGUCGAAAGGGAAGCACUUGAAGUCAGCCAUGCUGCUUGAGACUCAGCCUGGCUUUUGCUUGGUGUAUUUCUCGGUAGCAAGCCAGCAUUGGUUUGUGUCGUCGGAGAAGCGUAUGGGGAAUGUGGCAUCCUCGGAUGUGUUAUAGCCCUGUGCAGGAUACGACGACGUAGACCAAGGAACGCAGUGUGCCCUCUGGGCGGGUCUUCGGACACCUUCACACUUAGGAUGCUGGCGUAAUGGCUUUAAGUGGC
rnacentral:rRNA from 1 species